rnacentral:rRNA from 2 species
AACGGUGAUGGAGAGCUUGCUCUCCUGAUCAGUGGCGAACGGGUGAGUAACACGUGGGCAACCUGCCCCUGACUUUGGGAUAACGCUUCGAAAGAGGUGCUAAUACCGAAUAUGAACCCUCAUGGCAUCUUGAGGGUUGGAAAGUUUUUCGGUCAGGGAUGGGCCCGCGGCCUAUCAGCUUGUUGGUGAGGUAAUGGCUCACCAAGGCGACGACGGGUAGCCGGCCUGAGAGGGCGACCGGCCACACUGGGACUGAGACACGGCCCAGACUCC